rnacentral:lncRNA from 1 species
GGAGACUCGAACUCACAACCUCUCGGUUGGAAGUGGGGGUUGCUUACCAUCAGAGCAACCCCUCUUGUCUAAAUAAUUUACAACAUCCAAAAACUAAAAAGAAUAUAGAGGAAAAUCAAAACAAUCAAAUAGAAUAAGUUCGACUGACCUUUUGAGUGAAACAAGUUACAACAUGUGCCACAUAAUAAGCAUGUUAGCAAACAAAAUGAUGACGUAUAGUGGCAGCACAAUGCAUAGAUCCCGUUCUAUGAAGGCUUAGGCUAAAUCACCACCACUUUGUUGCCACAAAUUAAUGAUAUCGGUAGCCUGAUUAAGAAGAAUAAUCAUUUGCUUCUGUGAAAUCCAGGGUUUACUCUCCAGCACGAUUUUAAGCUCCUCCCAAGCAUCUUUUCUAGGCCAAAAAUAAUAGGGGCUCAACGGAAUCGUACACAUAGAUCUUGUUCUAUGAAGGCUUAGACUAAAUCACCACCACUCUGUUGCCACAAAUUGAUGAUAUCGGUAGCCUGAUUAAGAAGAAUAAUCAUUUGCUUCUGUGAUAUCCAGGGUUUACUCUCCAGCAU